UGCCCAGGUGGCGGAAUGGUAGACGCGCUCGUUUCAGGUGCGAGUGGUGAGAGCCGUGCAAGUUCGAGUCUUGUUCUGGGCACCC
rnacentral:tRNA from 1 species